GGGAACCAAUCGAUCAUGUCUGUCUGAAUUUGUUUUCCCACGUGGCAGGUUGUUAAUAGCUCCAUGGAACAUGUACAUGAGUGAUGAUCUGCAGUGCAAGUUCUACCAGCAAGAAUUAGUACUCAAGAAGACGCUCUGCCUCCACUAGAGGUCUUCGCGGGAUUCUCCCUCAUCUUUGGUGCUUCCUGCCAUGCAAAAAUAGAACUCUCAUUAUACUGCAACAAGAGUACCAAAUUCUCAUGAUGAUGAUGAACACUAAGAUGGGACUUCAGAAUAUACAAAGGCAUUAAGGCAUGCCACAUGAUUAUUAAUGAGCCACACAUAAAAGCACGACCGUUUGGAUCUUCUUCUACUAAAUUGCCUUCCAUUGCCGAUACUACUGACCUGCGGUCAAGGGAAAAACUGGACAUAAGAAUGAUAAAAAGUAAACAACCAGCUUCUGACAUGAUUAUGCAUCAUAUGCAAAUGUAGACAAAUUCAAUUGUAAAUCUUCAAGAGGUCCAUGAAAUGCUCAUAAUCACAACAAGACAUAUAGGGAAUGGAUAUAUAUGUCAAAGAGCUGUACAAACCUACACAGUUGACAAGUACAGAUUACAUAUACUUCUACUGAAACUGCCUUGCGUACGAUACUUUUUCCAUACGAUUUUGUACGACAAGACACAGGCCCGUUUCCAACGUUUGGGCCCACUACACCAGAACAGUCUGCUCGUACGCAAAAUCGUAUGAAGUUUGAUCGUACAUAUAGCAGCGCUCUACUUCUACACAAGUUUAUAGAGGUGAUAUACUCUAUUAAUAACUCUUUAAAAUUGAAUCAAAGUUAAGAGCAUACCGUAAUAAAUGUACUGGCAGCUCCUAUUGUGACUGACGGGGCAUAAAUGAUGAAGUUGUAAAAAAACAAUCGUAACA
rnacentral:lncRNA from 1 species